UCCAGCAGCCCGCGGUAAUUCCAGCUCCAAUAGCGUAUAUUAAAGUUGUUGCAGUUAAAAAGCUCGUAGUUGAACCUUGGGUCUGGCUGGCCGGUCCGCCUCACCGCGAGUACUGGUCCGGCUGGACCUUUCCUUCUGGGGAACCUCAUGGCCUUCACUGGCUGUGGGGGGAACCAGGACUUUUACUGUGAAAAAAUUAGAGUGUUCAAAGCAGGCCUUUGCUCGAAUACAUUAGCAUGGAAUAAUAGAAUAGGACGUGCGGUUCUAUUUUGUUGGUUUCUAGGACCGCCGUAAUGAUUAAUAGGGAUAGUCGGGGGCGUCAGUAUUCAGCUGUCAGAGGUGAAAUUCUUGGAUUUGCUGAAGACUAACUACUGCGAAAGCAUUCGCCAAGGAUGUUUUCAUUAAUCAGGGAACGAAAGUUAGGGGAUCGAAGACGAUCAGAUACCGUCGUAGUCUUAACCAUAAACUAUGCCGACUAGGGAUCGGGCGGUGUUUCUAUGAUGACCCGCUCGGCACCUUACGAGAAAUCAAAGUUUUUGGGUUCUGGGGGGAGUAUGGUCGCAAGGCUGAAACUUAAAGAAAUUGACGGAAGGGCACCACAAGGCGUGGAGCCUGCGGCUUAAUUUGACUCAAACACGGGAAA
rnacentral:rRNA from 1 species